UUCCCUGAGUAGCGGCGAGCGAAAUGGGAAUAGCUCAGCACUAAGCCAUCUGGUUUUUAACGACUAGUAUGGGAUGCAGUGUAUGGAGAGUCUAUUAUCUUAUAAUAAUAUAAUAAGUUCAAGUCCAUCUUGAAUGGGGCCAUAUACCCAUAGAGGGUGCCAGGCCCGUAGUAACUAUUAUAUAUUAUGAGAAGACUUUUCCAAAGAGUCGUGUUGCUUGAUAGUGCAGCACAAAGUGGGUGGUAAACUCCAUCUAAAGCUAAAUAUAACCAUGAGACCGAUAGCGAACAAGUACCGUGAGGGAAAGUUGAAAAGAACUCUGAAUAGAGAGUUAAAUAGUACGUGAAACCACUUAGGGGUUAAGCCCGAUGAACCUGAAUAUCUGAAAUAAGAAAUUCAAUAUUAUUAUAAUCAAUUAUUAUAUAUGAUCAAUAAUAGUAUGCACUUUUCUUAAAGUAAGACAUUGCGAUUCAUUAACUAUAUACUAUAAUUAUUAUAGUAUUUUAUGAUAAGACUCGUUAAAUUGUUUUAUUUUUUACUAUUAUUUAUUUAAUGUAAAAUAAAGUUUAAUGAUGCUCGCAUAAAAAGUUGAUGGACUUUAAUAAAUUAUAUUGAUUACAUGAAAUAUGUAUCACAAUUAUAUAUUUGAAUAAAAUAUGUAUUGUAUAUAUGUGAUAUGAAUAUAAUUUGAUCUGCAAUGCGUAUGAUUUAGGAAACCUUCGGGACCCGUCUUGAAACACGGACCAAGAAGUCUAACAUGUGUGCAAGUCAUUAGGAUUUACUUGUAUUAUUAAUAUAAGUAAUUAUAUAAACCUAAAGGCAUAAUUAACAUAACUAUAUUAUGGGAUUACAAGUAAUUUAAAAUAUUAUUUUUCCAUCUCAGGGCGUUUUAUAUUGAACAUGAUAGUUUUAUAAUUGUCCUCUGUUCAAAAGCGUACCUUGAGCAUACAUGCUGUGACCCGAAAGAUGGUGAACUAUACCUGAUCAGGUUAAAGUCAGGGGAAACCCUGAUGGAAGACUGAAGCAGUUCUGACGUGCAAAUCGAUUGUCAGAGUUGGGUAUAGGGGCGAAAGACCAAUCGAACCAUCUAGUAGCUGGUUCCCUCCGAAGUUUCCCUCAGGAUAGCUGGUGCAAUUUAAAUAUUAUAUAUAUAAUCUUAUCUGGUAAAGCGAAUGAUUAGAGGCAUUGGGGUCGAAACGAUCUCAACCUAUUCUCAAACUUUAAAUGGGUAAGAACCUCGUCUUUCUUGAAUUGAAGACCUGAGGUUUAGAUAUAUUGUGCCCAGUGGGCCACUUUUGGUAAGCAGAACUGGCGCUGUGGGAUGAACCAAACGUAAUGUUAAGGCGCCAAAAUUCAUGACUUAUAUUGAUACCAUGAAAGGCGUUGCUUGCUUAAAACAGCAGGACGGUGGACAUGGAAGUCGUAAUCCGCUAAGGAGUGUGUAACAACUCACCUGCCGAAGCAACUAGCCCUUAAAAUGGAUGGCGCUUAAGUCGUAUGCCUAUACAUUACCGCUAAAGUAUAUAAUAUGUGUAUAUCAAUUUAUAUAUAUUUUGAAACUUUAGUGAGUAGGAGGGUACAAUGAUAUGCGUAGAAGUGUUUGGCGUAAGCCUGCAUGGAGCUAUCAUUGGCACAGAUCUUGGUGGUAGUAGCAAAUAAUCGAAUGAGAUCUUGGAGGACUGAAGUGGAGAAGGGUUUCGUGUGAACAGUGGUUGAUCACGAGUUAGUCGGUCCUAAGCUCUAGGCGAAAGCCGAUUUAAUAAUAUAUGUUAUUUAUUUUUAAAUAAUUAUUUUAAAUAAUUUUUUUUCGAAUAUAACAUAAUAAUUGAGCGAAAGGGAAUACGGUUCCAAUUCCGUAACCUGUUGAGUAUACGUUUGUUAAUAAAAAUGGGUUCAUAUUGUACUCAUCCUGGUAACAGUAACAACCAUAGAGAAACCUUCGAGAGGUACUGAAAGAGUUUUCUUUUCUGUUGAACAAUUGUAUCACCAUGGAAGUCUUUUACAGAGAGAUAUGGUGAAUGAAUUGGAAGAGCAUGACAUUUAUUGUUGUGUCAGUAUCAUCUCCUUGGGCCUUGAAAAUCUAUGGUAGGGCUACGCAAACUUCUCAACAGACCGUACCGAUAUCCGCAGCCGGUCUCCAAGGUGAAGAGUCUCUAGUCGAUAGAAUAAUGUAGGUAAGGGAAGUCGGCAAAUUAGAUCCGUAACUUCGGGAUAAGGAUUGGCUCUGAAGAUUGAGAUAGUCGGGCUUGAAUGGGAAGCAAUAAUAUGGUUAUGUGCUCGUCCUGGGUAUUACAUAGGAUUCUAUUCUAUAUCUCGGGUAGUAGAUUACAUAACUUAAUUGCGGAACAUUUUUGCUGUUAAUGGGGACAUAUAUAUGGAGGUUUUUAACUUUUAUUUGUGUGUUAUACUCUAAACGAUUAUCAAUAAACAAUCAAUUCAGAACUGGCACGGACUUGGGGAAUCCGACUGUCUAAUUAAAACAAAGCAUUGUGAUGGCCCU
rnacentral:rRNA from 1 species